AUGAUUUUCUUGGUGGUCAUUAUGGAAGCGAUCUAUUAUGAGGCUGCAUUGCUUGCCCAAAGAGAGCACAUGGUGCAGCAUCAACGGAUGAUCCCCCAGCAUGUCCAUCAGUCAGCGUGGGACGAGAAGAUACAGGAGAUUGACUUGGAAAUAAGGGAAGAUCGAGGGCGUAUCAACUUCCUGACCGGCCUUGUUAAGAAGGAGGAGCUUGGCUUUUUUGGACUGUCUGAUGAGUUAGAGGGUGAAACUCCUGAUGUGCGAGCUCUGAACCGCGGCCUGAACACCAUUCACAACAGGAUGAUGUUCUUACGGAGGAGGUAUGCUUGCCUCAUGAAGCUGAAGAAGGCAGAAACAGGAGAUGGGCGAUAUAUCCAGAAGAAGCUGAAGGCCUAUAAUGCUGAACUUGUGAUCAUCAUAAACCAGAUCGUCGACAAGGGUGGACUUUACUGCAUAACACCAGACAUCUUCUCGGAGGACAUUGUCCUGAUUGAUUGA
rnacentral:rRNA from 1 species